GAUGAACGCUGGCGGCGUGCUUAACACAUGCAAGUCGAACGGAAAGGCCCUUGCUUGCAAGGGUGCUCGAGUGGUGAACGGGUGAGUAACACGUAAGUGAUCUGCCCUGCACUGGGGGAUAAGCUUGGGAGACUGGGUCUAAUACCCUAUAGGACCGCAUCGUGGUUGGUGUGGUGGAAAGGUUUUUCUGGUGUGGGAUGAGCUUGCGGCCUAUCAGCUUGUUGGUGGGGUAAUGGCCUACCAAGGCGGCGACGGGUAGCCGGCCUGAGAGGGCGUGCGGCCACAUUGGGACUGAGAUACGGCCCAGACUCCUACGGGAGGCAGCAGUAGGGAAUCUUCGGCAAUGGACGGAAGUCUGACCGAGCAACGCCGCGUGAGUGAAGAAGGUUUUCGGAUCGUAAAGCUCUGUUGUAAGAGAAGAACGAGUGUGAGAGUGGAAAGUUCACACUGUGACGGUAUCUUACCAGAAAGGGACGGCUAACUACGUGCCAGCAGCCGCGGUAAUACGUAGGUCCCGAGCGUUGUCCGGAUUUAUUGGGCGUAAAGCGAGCGCAGGCGGUUAGAUAAGUCUGAAGUUAAAGGCUGUGGCUUAACCAUAGUACGCUUUGGAAACUGUUUAACUUGAGUGCAAGAGGGGAGAGUGGAAUUCCAUGUGUAGCGGUGAAAUGCGUAGAUAUAUGGAGGAACACCGGUGGCGAAAGCGGCUCUCUGGCUUGUAACUGACGCUGAGGCUCGAAAGCGUGGGGAGCAAACAGGAUUAGAUACCCUGGUAGUCCACGCCGUAAACGAUGAGUGCUAGGUGUUAGACCCUUUCCGGGGUUUAGUGCCGUAGCUAACGCAUUAAGCACUCCGCCUGGGGAGUACGACCGCAAGGUUGAAACUCAAAGGAAUUGACGGGGGCCCGCACAAGCGGUGGAGCAUGUGGUUUAAUUCGAAGCAACGCGAAGAACCUUACCAGGUCUUGACAUCCCUCUGACCGCUCUAGAGAUAGAGUUUUCCUUCGGGACAGAGGUGACAGGUGGUGCAUGGUUGUCGUCAGCUCGUGUCGUGAGAUGUUGGGUUAAGUCCCGCAACGAGCGCAACCCCUAUUGUUAGUUGCCAUCAUUUAGUUGGGCACUCUAGCGAGACUGCCGGUAAUAAACCGGAGGAAGGUGGGGAUGACGUCAAAUCAUCAUGCCCCUUAUGACCUGGGCUACACACGUGCUACAAUGGCUGGUACAACGAGUCGCAAGCCGGUGACGGCAAGCUAAUCUCUUAAAGCCAGUCUCAGUUCGGAUUGUAGGCUGCAACUCGCCUACAUGAAGUCGGAAUCGCUAGUAAUCGCGGAUCAGCACGCCGCGGUGAAUACGUUCCCGGGCCU
rnacentral:rRNA from 1 species